UCGGCCUCUGCCCACCUCGGGCCUGGCCUGGCCUGUCCUGCGCCGCCCUCUCCCUACUCCUCCCUCUCCCCCCCCCAGCAUACUCGGAUGCUCCUGAUCUUUGCUCCUGACAACGUCCAGCAAGGCAGGGAGGAAUGUUGUCAGAGUUGGAAGGGGAAAGAUAAAACAUCUGUAGAAAUGAGGAAUUCAAAACACGUUGGUUGUGAAUGUUGGCUGAAGUGCAGUGAUAAAGAAUUGUUCUCUGCAGAGUAAAGCUAAGUACGUUAGAAUUGCUCAGCACCAUAGAAUGAAACAACACGGGAAGGUGAACCGGGUUAAUGCAACCAGCACCUUCAAGGUCAGCUGCAGGAAACGCCCACGGGACACAAAGAUGGCCGGGCGAGGAGAGGGAUGUCGGUUUGCGGGAACUGCUCCAGUAGACCGUGCGGCGGGCCGAUUGGACUUUGAAUAAUGGCGUCAAAAAUGGCAACGUCUGCAUGUGUAAUAUAUGAAAAAAGAAUUUCACCCUGCAGUUGCAUGUGUGACAAAUAAAUUACCUUUGAAGCA